CCUACGGGGGGCAGCAGUAGGGAAUCUUUCACAAUGGGCGAAAGCCUGAUGGAGCAACGCCGCGUGCAGGAUGAAGGCCUUCGGGUUGUAAACUGCUUUUAUAAGCGAGAAAUAUGAUGGUAACUUAUGAAUAAGGAUCGGCUAACUACGUGCCAGCAGCCGCGGUCAUACGUAGGAUCAGCGAAUUAUCCGGGGGGACUGGGUGUAAAGAGUUGCGUAGGUGGCAUACUAAGUAGCGAGUGAAAUCUGGUGGUUUAACCAUUCAGACUAUUAGCUACACUGUGAAGCUCGAGACCGUUAGGGGUGAGUGGAAUUUCAAGUGUAGGAGUGAAAUGCGUAGAGAUUAGAAGGAACACCAAGAGCGUAGGCAGGUUGCUGGGACGGUUCUGACACUAAGGUACGAAAGCGUAGGGAGCAAACGGGAUUAGAUACCCGGGUAGUC
rnacentral:rRNA from 1 species